AUGCAACAAACCGGCAUGUUCUGCACAUAAUACCCUAGAACUUAAAGUGUAAUUUUAAAAAGAGAAAAAAUGAUCUCUCUGCCAGGAAAAUCAACAGAAUCAAUCUACAAGAAAAGAAACACAAUUGGUGAGUUACAUGAAAAAGAGCCCAACUUAAAAGAAAUACAAAUGAAACAACAACGAACUAACAUUUUCUCUGAGUUUUCAAGAUUAAAAAAACAAAGCCAAACCUAGAUGAUAACAAAUUCAGUGUAUUGAUUAAAGUCAGGACAUUCUUACUCAUUAGCAGUGAAAGUCAAAGUUUGAGUAGCCUUCUAGAAGACAAUUCAAAUCACGUUAUGAACCAACAGUUUUACUUCUAAGAAUUUAUCCUAAGGAAAUAAUCAACAAUAUGUGGAAAGAUUUAGCUACAUCAUUGUUUAUUUUAGUGGAAAACUGAAAAUGUGCCAAGAAAAAAAAUGAGCCAAAUAUUCAGCAGGGGGAAUUAGCACAGUAUAUAUUAUCAAGGUAAAUGCAUGUAAUAGGAUACUGAUGCAUAAGGAUAAUUUUUUUAAAUGGUAGAUUUUCAUUGUAUGUUAAAUGAAAAAAUAAAAUGAGAGCCCAUUUUUAAAAUAAAAAAUAUAUCGUCAUUCAGAAAAAAAACACCUGGAAGGACAUCAUAAAAUACUAACAGUAGGCAUGCUUCAAAGUGUUAUAGAUGGUUUUCAGCAUACAGAUUACUCCUCUCAAAGAGACCUCUCUGACACUUUGUUUCUUCAUCUGGAAAUAAAGGAGUCAUGCUAGAUUAGUGCUAAGUGCUUUUAGCAAAAGUAUUUCCUAAUUUUACGAGUAAUGAUGGUGAAUAGUCUUGAGAAAAUGGUUAUUUUUUUUCCCAUUGAACUUUGGAGUUAGUAGAGUCAAACCAGGUUUAUCCUGGGCUAUCUCUUGUUUUAGCUAAAAUUCAAAUUCUGGUGUUUGUUUAUAAGUUGUGUGUGUGUGUGUGUGUGUGUGUGUGUGUGUGUUGCUUUCUCACAAAUGCCUAUUUUGGUGCGGAGUGGGCUGGGGUGGGUACAGAGUUACAUUGAAAUUAGGUACAUUUCCCUAUAGAAUUUUAGAGACACAAAUAAAUCUUGUUGAUAUGUUACAUACAUUUUCAUGUUUCAUCUACCAUUUGAAACCCUAUUACCAUUUGAAAUCAUUCUUGGUUUUGGUAAGUUUCUUUAAUUAACAUUCACACUGAGAAACUAUAAGAGAUUCCAUCCUUGAAAAAGUCCUUUUGCUAAAGAGAUUUGCAUUUGCUCUAAAAAUUGCUGGAAAAUGGUUCUACUUGUAUUAUCUAAUGAAAUGUCACUCUACUCUUAUUUCUAGCUAAUAGUAAAACUACCUGGGAAAUGAUAAUGUACAAUAAAUAUCUCAAGUGGUUAUGUAGUACCUUGUUCCAAUAGUGAAGUAAAAAACACACUCAGUUUUAAUUUGCUGUUAAAUACUUAACAUUUCACAGUGACUCUUCAGAGGCCAUAAACAAUGGUGGAAAAAGUGGAUUUCUAAAAGUGCUUUGCCUCAUUCUUGCUUAACCUGGCAGACGUCAUGAACUUCCAAAAGGGAACAUAUUUUAUUUGCUUUAUACCACCAGAGGGUUUAGUCAAUUAUUGCUAUUUGUUUAAUGUUGGUGUUGACAUAGCGCCUUUGCCCUGAGGAGCUCCAGGUGCUUUAUAAAAUUAAUCAGCAAUUCACAUCACAGCCUUUACGCCAGAGAGUGGACACUGAAAAUAAUGAUUCGUGGAACCUACAGCUACCCCUAACUCAUGUUUCUGUUUUCCCAGUGAAACAAAACAAAUAUGCCCAGUUCCCUCAGACAGCUAGCAGCAGAAAGUUCAAGUGGGGCAUCAGUGGGAGUUUCUCUCUUGUGUAACUGGGUGAACUCCUGUGAGGAAGAUUGCCAUUCACCCUACAGAGCUGAGACUUACUAUUCUCUGUUCUAAGACCCUCCCCAGCAAGGAAGUCCAUUUUUUCAAGCCUUGGCUCAAAUAUCACUUUCUUAAUAAGACUUUUCCUGACCAUCUAUU